rnacentral:rRNA from 1 species
GAUUAUGGCUCAGGAUGAACGCUGGCGGCGUGCUUAACACAUGCAAGUCGAACGAAGCAUUCCAACUCUCGGAGGAAGAAAUGACUGAGUGGCGGACGGGUGAGUAACGCGUGGGUAACCUGCCUUAUACAGGGGGAUAACAGUUAGAAAUGACUGCUAAUACCGCAUAACCCGCUAGUACCGCAUGGUACAGACGGAAAAGAUUUAUCGGUAUAAGAUGGACCCGCGUCUGAUUAGCUAGUUGGUGAGGUAAUGGCUCACCAAGGCGACGAUCAGUAGCCGGCUUGAGAGAGUGAACGGCCACAUUGGGACUGAGACACGGCCCAAACUCCUACGGGAGGCAGCAGUGGGGAAUAUUGCACAAUGGGGGAAACCCUGAUGCAGCAACGCCGCGUGAAGGAAGAAGUAUUUCGGUAUGUAAACUUCUAUCAGCAGGAAAGAAAAUGACGGUACCUGACUAAGAAGCCCCGGCUAACUACGUGCCAGCCGCUGC